UACGUAGGGGGCAAGCGUUGUCCGGAAUUAUUGGGCGUAAAGCGGGCGCAGGCGGCUCUUUAAGUCUGAGGUGAAAGCCCACGGCUUAACCGUGGAGGGUCAUUGGAAACUGGGGAACUUGAGUACAGAAGAGGAGAGUGGAAUUUCACGUGUAGCGGUGAAAUGCGUAGAUAUGUGGAGGAACACCAGUGGCGAAGGCGACUUUCUGGUCUGUAACUGACGCUGAGGCGCGAAAGCGUGGGGAGCAAACAGG
rnacentral:misc_RNA from 1 species